rnacentral:piRNA from 1 species
AAGAAAUUGAGGAUGAGCCAAUAU